AACGAACGCUGGCGGCAUGCCUAACACAUGCAAGUCGAACGAUGCCUUCGGGCAUAGUGGCGCACGGGUGCGUAACGCGUGGGAAUCUGCCCUUGGCUUCGGAAUAACAGUUAGAAAUGACUGCUAAUACCGGAUGAUGUCCCCCUGAGAGAUCUUGGGGACCAAAGAUUUAUCGGCCAGGGAUGAGCCCGCGUAGGAUUAGGUAGUUGGUGGGGUAAAGGCCUACCAAGCCGACGAUCCUUAGCUGGUCUGAGAGGAUGAUCAGCCACACUGGGACUGAGACACGGCCCAGACUCCUACGGGGGGCAGCAGUGGGGAAUAUUGGACAAUGGGGGGAACCCUGAUCCAGCAAUGCCGCGUGAGUGAUGAAGGCCUUAGGGUUGUAAAGCUCUUUUACCAGGGAUGAUAAUGACAGUACCUGGAGAAUAAGCUCCGGCUAACUCCGUG
rnacentral:rRNA from 1 species